CGAAACCUUUGCAAUACACGAAAGUGUGACAGGGCUAUCCCGAGUGCCAUCCGCUGAGGAAGGCUUUUACCCAGUCUAGAACGCUGGGGGAAUAAGGAGAGGGCAAGUCUGGUGUCAGCCGCCGCGGUAAUACCAGCUCUCCGAGUGGUGUGGAUGUUUAUUGGGCCUAAAGCAUCCGUAGCUGGCUAGGUAAGUCCCUUGUUAAAUCCACCGAAUUAAUCGUUGGAUCGCGGGGGAUACUACUUGGCUAGGGGACGAGAGAGGCAGACGGUAUUUUCGGGGUAGGGGUGAAAUCCUAUAAUCCCGGGAAGACCACCAGUGGCGAAGGCUGUCUGCUAGAACGCGCCCGACGGUGAGGGAUGAAAGCUGGGGGAGCGAACCGGAUUAGAUACCCGGGUAGUCCCAGCUGUAAACGAUGCAGACUAGGUGUUUGGACGGCCACGUGCCGUUCUAGUGCCGCAGGGAAGCUGUUAAGUCUGCCGCCUGGGGAGUACGAUCGCAAGAUUGAAACUUAAAGGAAUUGGCGGGGGAGCAC
rnacentral:rRNA from 1 species